AGCCUAGUAAAACACUGGUUCCUGUACAAUCACCAAAGUUAAGCAACGUCGAGCUUGGUCAGUAUCUUGAUGGGUAACCGCUUAGGAAUACUAGGUUUUGUAAG